UACGUAGGGGGCAAGCGUUAUCCGGAUUUAUUGGGCGUAAAGAGCUCGUAGGCGGCCGUUCGCGUCGGAUGUGAAAGCUCAGGGCUCAACUCUGAGACGCCAUUCGAUACGGGACGGCUAGAGGUAGGUAGGGGAAAGUGGAAUUCCUGGUGUAGCGGUGAAAUGCGCAGAUAUCAGGAGGAACACCGGUGGCGAAGGCGGGUCUCUGGGCAGUAACUGACGCUGAGGAGCGAAAGCGUGGGGAGCGAACAGG
rnacentral:rRNA from 1 species